GCCAAGAUGGCCGAAUAGGAACAGCUCCGGUCUACAGCUCCCAGCGUGAGCGACGCAGAAGACGGGUGAUUUCUGCAUUUCCAUCUGAGAGUUUUGCUCUUGUUGCGCAGCCUGGAGUGAAAUGGCGUGAUCUUGGCUCACUGUAACCUCUGCCUCCCAGGUUCAAGUGAUUCUCCUGCCUCAGCCUCCUAAGUAUACUCAGGUAGAAGAACAGAACAAUAUUUGCCUG